AUGCUUCGCGGGGGCUGUAAAGCCUCUGAGAGGCGAAAACACUUGAUCGACCGCCUCAGCUGGCAACAAGACCAAGCGCUGAGCAGCACCAUCUACCUUCUGCGAGAGAUGGGCCCCACCGCCUUUCUGCUGAGAGAGGAGGAACCGGAAAACAGGGAUUUCCGAGUUUCUCUAGGAAAUCCUCAUGUUUGUAAUUGUUCCACAUUUCUGAAAGGAGGGGAACUUUGUAAGCACAUAUGCUGGGUCUUGUUGAAAAAAUUCAGGCUCCCAAGGAAUCAUGAAUCUGCUUUGCAGUUAGGUCUUGUGGAAAGAGAAAUCAACGAUUUGCUUCAGGGAAUACAUCGAGUUCAAACUCCCCAACGAGAAAUGAACGAUGAAAAUCCACAGAUUGAAGAAGACGGUUACAUUAAACAGAAAGAGAUCAGUUCAGAUGAUAUCUGCUCUAUUUGUCAAGAAGUACUUUUAGAGAAAAUGCUUCCUGUCACCUUUUGCAGGUUUGGCUGUGGCAAUAGUGUUCAUAUAAAAUGUAUGAAGAUCUUAGCUAAUUAUCAGGAUGUGACAUUGAACUCUUCCAUGUUGAAAUGUCCUCUGUGUAGGAAAGACUUUGGACCAUUAAAUCUUAUUUUAGAGGAAUUCAAAAACUCUAACAAACUUGUGACUGCAUCUGAGAAAGAACGAUUAGACAAGCAUCUUGGAAUUCCUUGUAAUAACUGUCAACAAUUUCCACUUGAGGGGAAGUGUUAUAAGUGUACCACAUGUAUAGAAUAUCACUUAUGCCAGGAUUGUUUUGAUAGCUGCUGCCAUCUUUCUCACUCAUUUAUGUUUCGUGAGAAGAGAAAUCAAAAAUGGAGAUCGCUGGAGAAAAGGUCAGAUAAAACUGUAAAAUAUGUCGAUAUUAAAAAUGAGAUAGAGGAAAAGAUGCCACAUUUUCAAGAAAAGCAAGACCACAUUUAUACACCAAAACACGUGGUAAAGUCACUGCCUCUCUUUCUGAUCACAAAGAAGAGUAAACUGCUUGCUCCGGGAUACCAGUGUCGACUUUGUUUGAAGGCAUUUCGUCGUGGCCAACAUGCGAGACUGCUACCGUGCACUCACAAGUUUCAUAGGAAAUGUAUUGACAGUUGGUUACUCCACAAGUGCAAUUCAUGCCCUAUUGAUGGACAAGUUAUAUACAACCCUUUAAUCUGGAAAGAUAGAGCGGUGAAUGGACAUGUACAUCAUUCUGUUUCAAACACAGACAUCACUCAUCUGCCAAAAAGGGAAGAACCAGAACUUUUUAUUCCUGGUACUGGAUUAGUCUUAAAACAAAACAAACCUGGAAUUUUACCUAUCUUACCUCAACGUAAUUCUGAAAAAUUGAAUACACCUCAGAGUCCAAAUGAUGCUUAUCAGAAUAUAACAAUAGACAAUCUAUAUUCUAUCAAACUAGAUGAUUCAAAUUCAAGAAAAUCUAUCUAUGAAUGUAAAAUUAACCAACAUUUUUCCAGCUAUCUCCAAGAUUUACCCACUGGAUCCUUUGGAAAAACAUCAUCUCAAACACUUUUUCCUUCUAUUGAUCACAAGAAUAUAAUACAUCCAACUGAAAUGAAAAACCCAUGUAUAAAUAAAAAACACCACACUAGUCAAAGCCAGAAGAUGAACAAAAGUUGUAAAGGAACUAACCACAAUUCAAAGAAGAUUCUUGGUAAUAAAGUAAGAGAGGACAACACGAGAUCAAAUACUUUGCUUCCAGAUUUAAAUCUUAUUGUCAAUUGGGGUACAACAAAACUUAGUUUGUCUAACAGGUAUAAUAAUUGUAUGGGGAAGAUUAGACCAAAAUGUAGUCAUUUAUCCAGAAGGCCUAUAUCUCACCCUUUAAAUACAAAAAGUCCUGAGUUAUCUUUAAUAUUGAAAGGUGUUCAUUUAUAA
rnacentral:lncRNA from 1 species